UGAUUGAUGAAUAGUUGUGAAACAUUAAGUUAAUUUAAAUAUUAAAGAUUAGAAUUUAAUGGAAGAUAAUUAUAUUUACUUUAAAAUUAAGUACAUUGUUAUACCCAAAAUGUUUGUAUUUAAGGUAGUUUUUUUCCACAAAUAUUGAAUGCGCAGAUAAUAAAUCGGUAAUGUAUUGUAGAGAGUUGACAAUUUGACGGAGUUUUGGAUAUAUAAUGGGUGUACGUAAAAUGUUUUUUCACAAUAAAAAUAGAAAUAAAGUAAAUUUAGUUUAUAGGUAUUUAGCCAUACUUCAGAUAUUAGCCACGGUAGGUCGUCUACCAAGAGUUUAGUGACUAAUUUUACUCCUGGGCAAAACAGUGAAGUAUAGUAAUGGUUUUUAGUGUGGGGGUUUAAGUUAAAGUGGUUUGUCCUAAUUAAGAUGGGGUAGGUUAGUUGAGGAUGAGGAAAUCGCAUUUCAAAUAUCUAAUUGUAUCUGUCUUUGACACGUGUUGAAUAUGUAGGUUGCUAAAUGUCUAUGAAGUUUACGUUUUCCAGUCGGUGCCAGGUUGCUAGAAGGCUGUAUACAGCUGGGAAUAGUUUUAGUGCCAGUGGCUAGGGUUUGUGGGAAGUCAGCCUGUAGUGACUAGUGCAAAUUCUGCAGCUUCACUUCAGAUUUGUAUACAGUAAUGAUGGCUGCAUUAGGUUGUUACUGUAGAUGUGGAAGAGUGAAUCUGGUAUGGGUUGGUUUACUUUCGUAAAAAAUUGUCUCCUGUCCUAGUCCAUUUUCAAUGAUUGGUUGGAAACGUUAAAAAAGUGAAACUGUACGUUGUGGGGGGGGGGGCGAAGAUCAGACUGAGAUAGUCGGUGACAGAUAUCGGGGGCGAAAGGUUGUAGUUGAUAAACGGCGUUAUAUUGCUAAAGUGUUACUGUAUUUGCAGGUUGGUGUCUACGGUCAUGUAUAAAGGAUAUUGUUCGUAUGAAUAUGAUCGCCAACAGUGUGCGUCAGAUGCUGAGCUUCUCAGUGUUGUAUAAUGGUUGUGGAAGGUCCCCGCAACGUAAUCAGAAUGAGCGGUUAAAAGGAACCUAAUCUUAAGUGAUACCCAGAUAUGGAUUGAAGUCUAGAAAUUCCUCUUGCAAUUGGAGUGGGUUACCUGCAUAUAUUACAGAAUCAGGCGAGUGGUGCCAAUGCAGAUUAGAAUGGUAUGAAAUCCAGUGACUGACUGUAGUAAAGGACUUAUGAAGUGAUGGUUGUUCUUUGUAAUCUGUGAUGGUCUUUGCCACUGGAUUCCUCAGUGAUGUUCAGCACCUGGUCUUUGCCAUCUAGCACUGGUCUUUGCCAUUGGAUUCUUCAGUGAUGUCAUCUAGGACCAUUGGUUUAACACAACCUGAAAAUAAGUUAUCAAUAUUAGAUAAUGUACUAUUAUGUAUACAUUAGUUUAAUAAAUGAUUAUUGAAA